rnacentral:rRNA from 1 species
AACGAACGCUGGCGGCAUGCCUAACACAUGCAAGUCGAACGAGAUCUUCGGGUCUAGUGGCGCACGGGUCCGUAACGCGUGGGAAUCUGCCCUUUGGUUCGGAAUAACAGUUGGAAACGACUGCUAAUACCGGAUGAUGACGAAAGUCCAAAGAUUUAUCGCCAGAGGAUGAGCCCGCGUAGGAUUAGCUAGUUGGUGUGGUAAAGGCGCACCAAGGCGACGAUCCUUAGCUGGUCUGAGAGGAUGAUCAGCCACACUGGGACUGAGACACGGCCCAGACUCCUACGGGAGGCAGCAGUGGGGAAUAUUGGGCAAUGGGCGAAAGCCUGAUCCAGCAAUGCCGCGUGAGUGAUGAAGGCCUUAGGGUUGUAAAGCUCUUUUACCCGGGAUGAUAAUGACAGUACCGGGAGAAUAAGCUCCGGCUAACUCCGUGCCAGCCGCCGCCGUAAUAC